GCCGGCGUGGCCAAAUGGUUACGGCGUCCGCUUCCUAUUUCGAUUCAGUGGCGAUAGCGGGAGAUUGAGGGUUCGAUCCCCUCCGUUGGUU